CAGCAGCCGCGGGAAUACAGAGGAUGCAAGCGUUAUCCGGAAUGAUUGGGCGUAAAGCGUCUGUAGGUGGCUUUUCAAGUCCGCCGUCAAAUCCCAGGGCUCAACCCUGGACAGGCGGUGGAAACUACCAAGCUGGAGUACGGUAGGGGCAGAGGGAAUUUCCAGUGGAGCGGUGAAAUGCGUUGAGAUCGAAGAGAACACCAACAGCGAAAGCACUCUGCUGGGACGACACUGACACUAAGAGACGAAAGCUAGGGGAGCAAAUGGGAUUAGAUACCCCAGUAGUCCCUGUCUCUUAUAC
rnacentral:rRNA from 1 species